CGGGGGGCCCGGGCGCGCAGUCGGGGCCGCAAAGUUUGGCAGGGAGGCACCGCGGCUGGCUGGGGUGUGUGUGGGGGUCCCCGGUCGCGCCCCCGGGACGGGGCCCGGCGCCCCGGGAGAGCGCCGACUGGCAAGAGUGGAAGCGGGAGCGCCGGCCCCCAGCGCUGGUGCCUGCCCGUCGCCUGCGGCGUACAAUGGGGUCUCCUCCCCGGGAGGGCUGCAGGGUGGGGGGGAUGGGUCGGUGGGCAUCUCUCGGCUGCGAGGGGUCUCCGGGCACCCCUGCCGGCCACCGCCCCGCGCGCGUUAGAGCCCAGCGUGGCGGCUGGAGCCCCAGGAACUCUCCAGCUGCCUUCAGGGCCGGACCAGAUGCUCUUGCCAUGUGUUGGCCUCGGCCGGGGUCGCCGGGCCCGCUCCCCAUGCUGCCCCCGACCCCCAGGCAGGUCACGCCAGCGAGCUUGCACGGGAGGGAAAGUUAGCGGGGUCUGGGCGUGUUCCCCGGGAGCGGCCCAGCGUGCGGGCCGAGAGCUGGAUGUGAAUAAUGGCUCUGGGGUGGCGCGCGCGUCACAGUUUAUGAAGUACUUUGCACCGUGCGCGCUUCUCUGUGGUUUACGGCGUGCUGCACCGUUGACAAGGUACUUUAAGCUUUGCAAAGUGCCUUCCCGCCGCAGCUGUGUUGGCUCCUUCGGAAUCAGCCUUCCCGGGAGGCCAGGUGGGCGUGAUUCCUGGCCCCUGGGAACCGCCGGGGCGGCCGAGCCUGAGAGAGCCCAGUGCCCCUCUCUCAUCCAGGUCUGGGGCUUUGAAGUCAGGCUCCCCUGGCUGGCUUUUCCCGCCCCCCGGCAAGGUGAGCCCGUGCAGGAUCCUGCCGCUGCUGCGGGCUGAGUACCCUCUUCUCCGGCCACUUUGGGGUGACCGGGAGCCCCUUCCCCUCUUGCAAACUUCAACACAACCUGAUCAGACCUGGCCUCGGAGCUGCGGCCUCUGGAAGUGACAUGGGCGGUGUGACUUUAGUGACUUCACUGGCCACACUUGGGGGCUGGGGGUGGCCCCGGAGGCCAGCUGUCCUCCGGCUCCUGUGGCUUCCCAGAGUGGGUGCCGUGCCGCCCCGCAGGCCCCGGGUGGGGGACGGGGCGGCUGGGCGCGCUCAGGAAUUCCGGGGGAAGACGUUCACUUUCUCCCCCGGCCCUGGGGAGCGGCCAGCAGCAGGGAGGGACGUGAUAAAAGGGGUGUUGGGGACGGUGUGCGCCGCUGCGGUUUCCCCACGAAUGGGCGGCAGGAAGCCCGGCUGGGCGGCUGGCCCGCGCAGGUCCCCUGGGAGAUGCGGCUGGAGACUGACCCCCAGGACGCCGCGCCAGGCCCAGCCAGCCAGGGCCCAGGGUCGGAGGGGCUCGGUGGGCCCAGCGCCCCGGGCCUCCCCCUGCCCACGGGCAGCUUUAUCUGGGCGGCUCCGAGGGCAGCUGGCUGGGCUGAGUGGGCCUGGCCGCCUGCAGAUUUAUGAGGUGUGGGGGAAGCAGCCGGGUGGCGGGGGAGCCGGGGUGUCCAGGGCCGGGUCUGAGGGGAGAGCCGGGACGCGUGCUGACCCGUCUCCUCCUUGGGGCCCUGCCAGCCCCAGUCACUCCGCUCCUCAUUCCUCAGAGCCUGCCCCGGGCCGGCCUUGGGACACAGCACCUGCUGCCCCAGUGUCCCCGAUGGGCUCCCUGGGAGGGGGCUACGCACACAGGGGCCACGUCCCGGAAGCUCAGAGGUGAGGAGGCUGUGGGAAGAAUGUGCUGGAAUCUUCUAUGCCUGGGUCGAAAGCAGGCGAGAAGCCACGUGCUGAGUGCGAGUCCACCGGGGACCCUCAGCUCCCUGCACUUGCGCCCCUGUAAGCAGCUGGUGUGCCCAGGAGCGCGACUCGGCGAUCCCCACCGUGACUGCCUCGGGGAAGAGCCCUGACUUCUUACGCCAUCCUCUAUGUCUUUGAGAGGCAGAGAGAGAGAGAGGGAGGGAGAGAGAGAGAGAGGGAGAGAGAGGGAGAGAGAGGUCUCUGUCUUCUGGUUCACUCCCUACAUGGCCGCAAUGGCUGGAACCGGGCUCAUCCAAAGCCAGGAGCUUCUUCCUGGUCUCCCACGUGGGUGCAGGGGCUUAAGCACUUGGGUCAUCUGCUGCUGCUUUCCCAGGCCAUCAGCAGGGAAUUGGACUGGAAGUGGUGCAGCCAAGACUCGAACUGGCGCCCAUACGGGAUGCCGGCACUGCAGGCAGAGGUUUAACCUGCCACGCCGCAGCGCCGGCCCCUUCUGUGCUGUUGUGAUGUCUGCUCAUAAGCAUAGACUUCUGUGCGCUUAAAAACCUCGGUUAAAACCCAGGGUAGUGGCAGGGAUGUGGGAGACGGAGAAGGGCAGGCCUUCCCCACGCUCUGGGGUGGGGUCUCGGCUGCUGUCACGUGGGCCUGAGUGUGCUCUGGGCUGGGGUCCGUUUGGAUGCUGAGGUCAUUCUCAGUGAGAAGCCUUGCUCCCUGGGAGGCCCCCAGCCUCAGUGGGGAGCCCCCACCCACCCACUCACAUGGAGGAGCUCACGCAGUAACUCCAGGGAGUUGAGGUGGGUUGGGGUGGUCAGGAAGGGCUCCCUGGAGGUGGUGACCAUUGAGGGUGCUAAGUCCCCUCUGACAGGGGACUGUCAAAGGACUUUCUGGAAGGGAAGUUAAGGGCACAUUCUUCAGCCAGGCAGGGGUGCGUCCGAAUCCUUGUCCAUCUGUUUACAGCAGAGGGACUCCGAGCACGUGUCGUCGCCUUAGUUUUCUCUCCUGUGUGACGGUGCAAACAGUCGGCUGUGCUCACCAGCUAUAAGCUAGUUCCUCUUCUCUUUUUCACAUAUGGGGGUCCCCCAAAGCAGGGUGAUGGGCCCUGAGAGCUUAAAAGCCCUCUGCCAAGCGUCUAGGGCCACAAGCUUGGGACAGAGGCAGAGCACUGGCAAGGAGGGUGUGGAGGGGCCUAACGCAGGCGUUCCUCCAGGGAGGGGCCUCCUGGGCAGCUGGCCACACCAGUGUGGCAUCAGGCGUCCUGGGGUCAGGGUCAGGGUCCACCCUGUGCAGGGUUCCCAGGUCAUCCACAAACUGGACACCUGCUGCCCUGGGCCAGGCUGGAGCAUUGAAUCCGAAGCUGGGGCAGAAGAGAGACAGAGAGAGAGAGAGAGAGAGAGCGAGCGAGCGGGCUCCCACCUGCUGGUUCACUCCCCAGCCUUACAACAGCUGGGGCUGGGCCAGGCUGAAGCCAGGCCUCUUCUGUGGGUAGUAGGAACCCAGUUACUGGAGCCAUCACCGCUCCCCUGGGGUCUACACUGGCGAGGAGCUGGAAUCUGGAGCCAGCAGCAAGUUGAGCCGGGCCCUCCAUAGGGCGGAAUCCUGGCUGCCACCGGGGCCUCAGGACCUGGGACACAAGGCCCAGUGCCAUGGUCCCUGAUGGCCUUUCCUCCCUGAGCCUCAGAGUCCUCUGUGACAAGGUGGGGUGGGGGACAAGCUGGCCCAUUGUUAAGCUUUUAUAGUCCAUGAGGUUGGAGCUCAUAACCUCACCCCCAGAACAGAGCCUGGUACCCAUGGGGGCUUGGCUAGAGGGAUGGCCAGACGGAUGGAGACACCGAUGGAUGGAGGGAUGGAUGGACAGACAGGAGGAGGGAAGGAAGGUGGGGGGAACAGGUGAGCUGAUGCAUGGAUUGACAGACGGUUGGAUAGAGGGAUGUAUGGAUGAGUCCAAGCACUUGGGCCAUCUCCUGCUCUUUCCCAGGCACGUGAGCAGGGAGCUGGAUCAGAAGUGGAGCAUCCGGGACUCGAACCAGUGCCCAUAUGGGAUGCCAGCACUGCAGGUGGAGGUUUAGCCCACUACACCACAGCGCCAGCCCCUAUUUCUUCUGCUUUGAACCUUUCUAUCCCCAGCUAUUUUACUGACUUAUUUCCUCACUUUGCACAAAGCAUCCUGAAAGAACACUAGACGUGGAGGCCAGCACAGCCCUAGGCCUCACUGCACCCGCUACGUCACCUGUGAAAUGGGCACAGUGGGAACAUGGGGCCUGCCCGUUUCCUUGGGGCCCCUUGCGUGCGCCUUAUGUGCACCUCUCGGCUGUGGUGGCCGCUUCUUCUCCCUGCGCUAGCUGUGGGCCGCCUGCCUUUGGUGUCUGCCGGGCUCAGUGCGAGGCCUGCAGAGCGCGGUGAAGACGUGAGACCGUGUAGUCCACAGAGCUGUCGUGGGGAAAGUCCGAGGCAGCCACGGGAGGGUGCUGUGCACGCGGGGGAGUCCGGGACCCCACUCGGUCGCUGUCCAACUCCAAGGAAGCCCAGCCUGGGGCUAAGUCCCCAUCAGUGGCUUUGCCGCUUCGCCUCGUGUCCAGGCGGCCCUGAGCCCUGUUCCUGUCCCCUCGCCCCACUGUGCGCGGGGACACACUUGGGAGGUGGUGCCAUUCUCACAAGGGACAAUUAGUGGCAGCAGCAGCUCCUGCAGCCAGUGGGCUCCGGGCCAGGCUUUGGGUGCAGGGCACCUGUAGGUCUGGGAGUGGCGGGAGGGUGAGGAGAAGCCAGGACCCUGCCCAGCAUCCCGGCAGGGGGGAUACUCUCUGCCCACCCACCCACAGCGCCAGGCAGCUUGGACAGGCAACGAAGUUCCCCCAUUUUACAGCUGAGAAAAUUGAGGCUUAGAGAAGGUCAUGUUCGGCUGAUUCAGAAGGCAUCCUCUCACCCAGCCACAGUUCUGGGAGGCUGGGGUGGGAGGGCACAGACAGGGGCCUGGGGGAGCCCAGGGGAUGCCCUUUUAGGCAGGCCCUGGCCGCUGGCAGAACUGUGACAGGUACAGGGGCUGGGGUCAAUCCCAGGCCUAGCACUGGAGCUCUGGGGACGCGGACGGCUCUGGGGAGGCAGGGUCUCCAGCCGGACUUUUGUGGUUUUGCUUCUAAAAGUUCCUCCUGACCCAGCCGGGCCUCUGUUCCCUCUGUCCCAGAGCCAGGGUCCCUGAGACUCUGCCUCGUGCCGCCUGGCCACAGGAGAGCAGGCCUGUGCCAGGGGAGAUGAGUCGGGGCAGCCGGGCAGCCGAGCGCGCACAAGGAAGGAAGGCCUCCGUGACGUUGCCCAGUGCUGCAGCCCCCCUUCCCCUCUUGUGCCCCGGGGCCUCGGCGCCAUCUGCCGUGACCCAGGACAACGGCAGCCCCGGGGAGGCAGCUCCAUCUCGGGCCAGGAUGCCAGAUACAUCCGCGGUAUCGGCCUACGAGGGAGCUGCCGCCCAGACUGGGGGCGGGGCGGGGGCUUGUGCAGAACACAGACCCCCAGCCUCCAACCUGGCCCUGUGGGGUGGAGGGAAGGCUGGGACUGGGACGUGCAGAAAGUGCUCGGGUCUGAGCUGACGCUUGGGCGGCUGCCACCUCGUGCCAGCACCUGGCGCUGCCGAAAGCCGGCCGAUCGUGGGGAACGGAGCACGGGGCGUGGAGGAGCGGGCGGGACGCUGGGCCGUGGCGGGGGCCGGGGGGGGGGGGCUUGUGCCCUGGGUUUCCAUCUGACUCUAACCUGUUCCCCGAGUUGUCUUUAAUGAGCAUGUACUGCAUUUGCCAUGGAAAACACAAGUAGGAGUGCGUGUGGAAGGGAGUGGCGCGGAGAGGGGCGAGCUGGAGACCCGGCCUAUCUCCUGAGCCUCAGUUGCUACUCUGUAACCUGGGGAUUGUAAAAGCUCCACGCGUGGCUGCCAGUGUUGAGUGAGCUCAUUGCCCCCACUUCCCUGCCGGGGCCCUGUGGGAGCCCCCGCCCCUUCUCUGGCUCAGACCCUGGCAGGGAAGGCUGGCCAGGGCUUUCCAGGCUGCCCUGGCAAAGCCCACUCUACAGAUGGGGACACUGAGGCCCCGGGGCAGCUGCAGGGUCCCAGCCGCGGGAGGGGGCGUGUGCGUGCCUGCUGUGGUUUUCGCUCCCUGUCGGCGCCUUGCUCAGUGAGUGUGAGGGGGCAGCAAGUCCCCAUCUGUGUUUUCCAAUAAAAGAAAAUGAAAAUUGAAGCGCA
rnacentral:lncRNA from 1 species